rnacentral:lncRNA from 1 species
GACGAACUAGCACAGAACAAUGGGAAGGAGGGGCUUAAAUACUAAGGGGAGUGGAGACAAUGGGACACAAGUGUAAUACAUCAGGGAGGGUCAGGUGAUCACACAAGACAGGAAGACACAUCUGAAACAAGACAUGGUAGUGAAUAACAAAAUAAAACAGGAAGUCCAGCAACUGCAAAAUAACACUAUGCCACAGAGCUAGAUGUGACAAAUCUUAAGUGGAAUUCUUAGACGCUUGUAAUGAGUGAUGAAAAAAACUACAAAAUACAAUUGCUCAAAACCAUUAACCCUCACUUAAAUCAUUCAUCAUGUUCAGGGCCCAGGGAGCAUUGGGAUUUGUUCUGUUUGGUAAAGGGUUCUUAUAAAGCUUGAGCACCUCCGGUAAAGUCUAUGCAUCAAUAGGUCCCAAAGCUACACCAAAAUCACUGUUUUACAAAAAUAAAAUAUGUGCUAAGCAUCACAUUUCUUUGUUGCUUUUAUGCCAAUUAUGUACAAAACAUUGCAAGUUUGGUAAGUUGGUAAGUUUGGAAGGGAAUUAAAAGCAUGUGAGGUUUGCAUGAAUGUAUGCAUCUGCAAUAAUUCUCUGAUACACAAGCAUAAAACAAAUUGCUGACCUAUAUCUUUCCUAACCCCACUUGGCCUGAUGAUGUGUUCAGCACACUCUAGACUCUCGCGCUGCUUGUCCCACUGGGACUUAGGACUAUUGUAAUGAUAGGUACAUGUAGCAGCAAAGUUAUGCAAGAGACAACAUUCUCCAGAUGGAGACACGACACACAGGACAAACAGGAGAAAGCAACUCUAAACUACAGAAUAUAUUGUAUAAAGUCUCUGGUAUACUAUUUAUGCUUUGAUCAAGAUACACAUUCAGUCUGAGAAUCACAAAGUGGACAACAGAACGGGAUUAUCUGCAGCCAUUGCACUUUGGCUCCGGAGAAGACAAGUCAACACGUCGGUGCCCCUAUAAAAACCAGCCCUGCUAACUGCGGCUCUUAGUCUGUUUCUGCUGCUGAGGACACUGUGAGUACACCUUAUACACUUUUCUUACAAAAAGUUCUGAAUGUUAUUUUGACUAAUAGGCAUGACUGACUUCGUCUUUCUUAAGGCCUUUAAAUCACUAUUUCAUGAUUAAAACAGUAGUGGCCCCCUAUAUAUGUGCUAAUGUGAUAUUUAUGUAAUACUGUAAUAAUAAUCUAUGCGAAAGAGAAAUAAUGUACAUUGUUUAGAGACGAUAUGGAGUUAGUUACGUCAUAGAUGCAGAACAUUUGUUGUAGUAGACUUAACACAAGUACUUAAAUCAUUGGUUCAACUGUAUUAUGAUGUUGGUGAUGGUUAAAUUCUCAAAUGUGAGCAUAUAUCUCCCCCCAGUGGAGUGAUCCUGGGAUGAC